GCCGAGGUGGCGGAAUAGGCAGACGCAGCGGACUUAAAAUCCGCCGGGCAUUGCGCCCGUACCGGUUCGAGUCCGGUCCCCGGCA
rnacentral:tRNA from 2 species